ACACGGGGGGCGCAAGCGUUAUUCGGAAUUAUUGGGCGUAAAGGGCGUGUAGGCGGUUUUAUCGGUCAGAUGUGAAAGCCCAGGGCUCAACCCUGGACGUGCAUUUGAAACAAUAAGACUUGAGUACGGUAGAGGAAAGCGGAAUUCCUGGUGUAGAGGUGAAAUUCGUAGAUAUCAGGAGGAACACCGAUGGCGAAGGCAGCUUUCUGGACCGAAACUGACGCUGAUGCGCGAAGGCGUGGGUAGCGAACAGGAUUAGAAACCCGAGUAGUCC
rnacentral:rRNA from 1 species